GAUGAAUGCUGGCGGCGUGCCUAACACAUGCAAGUCGAGCGGCAGCGCGAGGAGUUUACUCCUUGGCGGCGAGCGGCGGACGGCUGAGUAACGCGUGGGAACGUGCCCCAAAGUGAGGAAUAACUGCCCGAAAGGGUGGCUAAUACCGCAUAUGAUCUUCGGAUUAAAGUCUUCGGACGCUUUGGGAGCGGCCCGCGUCGGAUUAGGUUGUUGGUGAGGUAAUGGCUCACCAAGCCGACGAUCCGUAGCUGGUCUGAGAGGAUGAUCAGCCAGACUGGGACUGAGACACGGCCCAGACUCCUACGGGAGGCAGCAGUGAGGAAUCUUCCACAAUGGGCGAAAGCCUGAUGGAGCGACGCCGCGUGAAGGAUGAAGGCCCUCGGGUUGUAAACUUCUUUUAGUUGGGAAGAAGCGAAAGUGACGGUACCAACAGAAAAAGCACCGGCUAACUACGUGCCAGCCGCCGCCGUAA
rnacentral:rRNA from 1 species